GCAAAGGAUUAGCUGUUUCUUCUUUUGUUAUUUGAUGUUUGUAUUCUGUCUUAUAACUU
rnacentral:sRNA from 1 species